CCACAUUGUGGAUCAUUGUUAUUGUCAGUUCGUCUUGUGCUCUCUCUGCACUAGCCAGAGUUUCGAUGGAGGGGGGAGGUGUGACUGUCACCAGUGUACAGGCCGUUGAAGAAAGAAAGGGCGACUAGAAUGGAAGAACUGGUAUCAAACAAAUGUGGGCCUAGAAGCUCAGUGGAAGCUUUGCACCUUCUGGAAAACAUUCUACACCAGCAGCAGCUACUGCCUCAUCGUGUCUCAGCUAAGCCCCUGGGUGUCCAAGGGGAGACAAGGUGGGCUGCUAUUCCCCAGUGAGCUCCAGACUUCUUCCCUGCCUCUAUGAAGAGAGACAGCCCAAUGAGGUUGAUGGUGGGAGCGAUUGCAA